GCCCGGGUGGUGGAAUGGUAUACACGGCAGACUUAAAAUCUGCUGACCGCAAGGUCGUGCGGGUUCGACUCCCGCCCCGGGCACCA
rnacentral:tRNA from 1 species